rnacentral:misc_RNA from 1 species
GAUGAAGAACGUAGCGAAAUGCGAUAAGUAGUGUGAAUUGCAGAAUUCAGCGAAUCAUCGAAUCUUUGAACGCACAUUGCGCCCUUCGGUUAUUCCUUAGGGCAUGCCUGUUCGAGCGUCAUUUCAACCUUCAAGCCUGGCUUGGUGUUGGGCGCUGUCCCGCCUCCGCGCGCGGACUCGCCCCAAAUGAAUUGGCAGUCGCACCCUCCGAGCCGCGAGCGCAGCACAAGUCGCGCGGGCGGAACUCUGGGGGGACGGACGCUCCACAAGACCCUUUCUCAGUCUUGACCUCGGAUCAGGUAGGGAUACCCGCUGAACUUAAGCAUAUCAAAAGCGGAGGA